GGGGAAUAUUGGACAAUGGGGGGAACCCUGAUCCAGCCAUGCCGCGUGUGUGAAGAAGGCCUUAUGGUUGUAAAGCACUUUAAGCGAGGAGGAGGCUACUCUAGUUAAUACCUAGGGAUAGUGGACGUUACUCGCAGAAUAAGCACCGGCUAACUCUGUGCCAGCAGCCGCGGUAAUACAGAGGGUGCGAGCGUUAAUCGGAUUUACUGGGCGUAAAGCGUGCGUAGGCGGCUUAUUAAGUCGGAUGUGAAAUCCCCGAGCUUAACUUGGGAAUUGCAUUCGAUACUGGUGAGCUAGAGUAUGGGAGAGGAUGGUAGAAUUCCAGGUGUAGCGGUGAAAUGCGUAGAGAUCUGGAGGAAUACCGAUGGCGAAGGCAGCCAUCUGGCCUAAUACUGACGCUGAGGUACGAAAGCAUGGGGAGCAAACA
rnacentral:rRNA from 1 species